rnacentral:ribozyme from 1 species
AGGAAGAGAAGAAGGUUUCCGAAGAGGAUGAGGAUAUGGGUAUGUCCUUGUUCGAUUAAGAAAU